CAGCUAUUCCCCUCCUGACCUUUGCUGAGUACUGAGAAGCCGUGGUGCCUUCCCCUGCAAGCUUCCCCUCUGCAGGAGACUCCAAUGAAUGAAGCAUGCUUAAAUAAAUGUCUCCAAGGCAGCCCCAUCAAAUAUUAAAAGAACAGAACUCCUUCAGUCAGCAACAGGGCACGGCACCCAAUCCCUGAGUGUCAGGGGCUGCCGCCUCCUCUGAUCACUUCAACUUUAAAUAGCUCUUCAGGGGGGUGUUCCUAUCACUAAGGCUGAUAGGCAGUGCCACUUUCUACACGCAGGCUUUGUCUGCAGCAUCUCUCACCAACACAGAGGAACAAGAAAACCUGCUGACCACUCAGAAGGGGAGAGGCAGGUAAAAGAAGACGAGGGAGGCAGUAGGUCAUGGGAGAUUUGAGGAGUUAUCACUUUUGAUAGUCUGGAGGCCAAAGUUGAGAAAGGAGAAAGCUAGGCCCAGCGUGCAGAUCUGGCAUCUGGGAGGUGCAUCUUGAGCAGACAGGACACGGAGAAAGCCCUACCCGCUUCAAAACAGGAAGACUCUACCCUCUGAGCGAGAAAAAGGCCAAUUUCGAUGGAGACUGGCCUUCGGGUAGACAGAAGAGAGGAGUGGUGAAGAACUGAAACAGCCAUGUGCACUUCAUUGCUCGCUCCAUCCCACCGCCCUGCAGGGGGCGAAGAACUGAAACAUCCAUGCGCACUUCAGCGCUCGCUCCAUCCCACCGCCCUCCAGGGGAGGAGGGGAAGUGGUUCUGGUGUCCCAGCUCUACAAAUGGCAGAGACGAGGUCCAGAGUUUCAGUGAGCUGUCCAGGAUCAGAGAGACCCAACUCAGAUUCUGACUCUGAGCACAGCAUGUUUUCCACCCUGGCACUCAGGAAGCUGCCUUAGAUGACAGCUGAAAAAGGGAAGGAAGGAAGGCUUAGAGUGAUGGACUGGGCAGGCAGCAUCCACCAUACUUCAGGAUUUAGGGUCCUGAUUAACCAAGCAGGCUGAUGCAUUCAGUCUUGAGAAGGAGAGAGGGGUUAAGGUAGAGGAGGAGAGUGGAGAAAAAGUUCCCUCACCCACUGCCAGCCGUUCUUCCCCUCCUUCCUUGAACACCACACUUCACCUGCUCUCUGAACUGGGAAAAGCAACAGACCCAGACAGCCACCUCAAUUCUACUUAGCAGCUUAAAAAUCUAAAUUGAUGGCUGUCCUCUUCAUCUCUGAAG
rnacentral:lncRNA from 1 species